AAAGAGCACAACACAACCCUUGGCUGCUGUGUUUGCACACUCUUCACCCUGCUCCUGCCCACUCUGCUUGUCACCUGCCCCCUGAUAACCCCAUCACUCCUGAAAGAUCCUGAGUGCCUGGAUUUUGUCAUCCAGCCCUGCAGGAUGCUCCCAUUUGUCCUGAGGAAGGCUGUCCCAGACAGAGAGGAGGAGAUGGAGGUAGAUGCAAAGAUUGAUAUGGAGGAGGAGAUGGAGGUGGAUGUGGAGGUGGAUGUGGAGGUGGAAGAAGAGAUGGAAGUGGAUGUGGAAGAGUCCAUUGAGGACAUGGACAUUGAUUAAAAAGGACCGAUGGACAUCAUGGACAGAGAUGUCACCCUUUUGUACAUACCUUUUACAUUUUGUUGUUGUCUUAUAGGUUUUAGGGCUUUUUGUCUUCUGUAAAUAUGUUGCAUCUAUUUUUGCUAGAUAGGUUCUUAUGUAUAUAUGUUCUAUCAAUUGUUGUUGUUACAAAUAUUCUUACAAUGUAAAUGUGUUCUGUAUUUUUGCUGCUGUUUCUCUGUAAUAAACAAAUUUUAUUUUUCACACCCCAGUUCUCCUUGCAUUUGCUUCAGGCACAGGCAGCAUUUUGCAAAGUUGUAGUUUCCACUUGCUGCAGGUUCCCAGGGCUGGAGGUCCCUGGCAUAGCCACCCCAGGAGUGGGGGUCCCUGUGCACAGAGGGAUCCCACUGACAGAGCCCUUCAAGCCCUGAGGAGACAUGACAGCCCUUCCCAGAAAAACAUAGUUGUUAAACAGAUAUUCA